AGUCGAUCCAGAGGGAAACAACGUUGUCAAAUAUUACUCCGUGGUGAAUUUACCUGCGAGAAAGCAGAGAAGUGUGUCACUUGAGGUUUUACUCGCCGUCUGACAGCCAACCGGGUUAGACAGGAACGGCAGGCCAAGGAUGUGAAGGGCUUGAUGACUGUCUUUGCCAUCCUUACCUGACCACUUUGGCGAGCAGGCAGGUGAUAAGAGCGCCCGUCAACACGCAGGUGAAAAUCACGAUGACUUUGAGCGUGGGCAGAUACGUCAUGAGGGUCGAAGUUGGGGAUCCGAUGGCCGCCUGGGUGCUGUUGUCAUUGCGGAGGUUGACGGCUGAUGAGGUCGUGUUCGACGGCGAGGAGGGAGAGGAAGACAGAGUUCGGGGCUCACCUU